ensembl:lncRNA
GCACCCCUCACCUCUCUGGGAGCCCGGCUCUGUGGUCCAACGACUGGCUGUUAGAUGGGGCCAGGCUGGGAAGGAGGGGUCCUUGCCAUCUUUAGGAGCCCCGCCUACCCUGAGUUUGUGGGGAUCUGAGCCCCACGGCAGUGGUGAAGCGGAGGGAGCUGCCUGAGCCCAGCUCUACUUCCUCAUGGCCUCACUGUGCAGCUGUGGACAAAGUGCUGCCCUCUCUGGUCGGUGGGAGGGCGGGCCUCACAGGACUGUGGAGGUGUCCAUGCAAGGCGACUGAGGCUGAAGAGGCACAAAGGCCCCUUCUUGUUCAAUCAGAGCUGACUUUCUGAGCCUCUAGAAUCCUCUCAGCCAAGCCCCACAGCCCAUGACAAAUCGGGACUCCAGUUCCUGCUCAUCAAUGACAGCCAAGGACUUUGCCUCGCCAAGCCUUGUGGCUCUCUCUCAGGACACCAGGCCGGCACAUCCGUCACUGCCCGGGGCCUCCAGCCCAGGCUCCAGCCGCUGGCUAUGGCAGCGGAUCAAAGGGCUUGGAGGACGAGGCCGACAGCUGGGCAGGCCCACUGCCCUUGCUGACCCUGGGCUAGCGGCCCAGGCCUCAGGAGAGUGGGGCCUGGAGGGGCCUGAGGACGAGGCUGCAACAGAGCGGAUUCAGCUUCAGCAAACAGCAUCUACUGGGCACCAGACCGGGCCGGGUUUUGCUCCAUCACUGAACUGGAUGCCCACGUCGUGUUAACCCACAUGAUAGAUGAGGACAUCAACCCCAGAGGCCUGUUCUGUCUGCGUCUCCUCCUGCUGGCCAUCCUUACCCACAAAGGAGAGGGUAUAUCCAGGGAAACCUAGUGGAAGCAACCAGAUGGAGCGGGGAGAGAUGCAGGAAAGCUGGGGAGGGGGAAGGAGGCCCUUGAACACCAGGAUAGUGUCUCUGGACCUGAUCUGUUCAGCUUGGAGGGCUCCAGGACCACGGCUCCCUCCUCACCUGGCUCGGCCCUCCGAGACCCACAGCUGGCACAGGGACUGGAGAGGUUGCUACAGGCCUCCAGCUCCCCGUCUGUGAAAUGGGUGGGUCGGACUCUGCUCUCCAAGAGGCCUUCUAGCCCUGAGGUGGGGACGGGGGCGCAGAGGAGGUGUUCCAGAAAGGAGGCCUCUUCAGCUGAGAUUUAACAAGCCGUCUGUUCCAUUGGAAUUGAUCAAAACCAGACUUGAGCUCAGCCACGUCUCUGAUUUGCACGGACCGAAGCCGCCAAGAAUUCAUCCCUCGCUGUUUCCAGUACAUAACUGGGCUCCCGCGGGGAUCCCAGGGCCGGCAGAGGUCUCACCUCCUCUCUUCACGGUGAACCUGAGCAGGGGAGGCCCCCAGCCAGGCCCCCAGUCAUGCUCCUCCCACUCUGGCCACGGUGGGUGGGAGCCGGCUCGGGCCCUCCCCUCGCAUCUGAGCAGCAAGGCUGCCAGCUGGAGCCUGCAUUUCCCUCAUUCACACAGUCAACAAACCUUCCCGGAGCUCCCGAGAACUGUGCUGGGAGGCAGUGGCCCUGCACCUCCUCAGAACUGGCCCCCAGCCUCUCAGGGGUCCUGAGGGGUCACCACGUCUUCCCUUGUUGUUCCUCUUGGUUUAUAAAAGAAAUGAAGAAAUGC